rnacentral:rRNA from 1 species
CAAUAGCGUAUAUUAAAGUUGUUGCAGUUAAAAAGCUCGUAGUUGGAUUUAAGUUUGUUUGUGCGUUGUGAUCGUGAGAUGAUGAUGCAUUGAGCAGACAUUAUUUGGGAUUUGGGGUUUCUUGGCAUUCAGUUGUUGAGAUUCAACUGCCCAUCGUUUACUGUGAAAAAAUUAGAGUGUUUAAAGCAGGGGUUUUUCCUUUGGAUAUAUUAGCAUGGAAUAAUAAUAUAUGACUCGUAUGGUCUAUUUUGUUGGUUUGCACAUAUGAGUAAUGAUUAAUAGGGACAGUUGGGGGUAUUCAUAUUUGAGCGUCAGAGGUGAAAUUCUUGGAUCGCUGAAAGAUGAGCUAAGGCGAAAGCAUUUACCAAGGAUGUUUUCAUUAA